GAUGAACGCUGGCGGCGUGCCUAAUACAUGCAAGUCGAGCGAACGGACGAGAAGCUUGCUUCUCUGAUGUUAGCGGCGGACGGGUGAGUAACACGUGGAUAACCUACCUAUAAGACUGGGAUAACUUCGGGAAACCGUAGCUAAUACCGGAUAAUAUUUUGAACCGCAUGGUUCAAAAGUGAAAGACGGUCUUGCUGUCACUUAUAGAUGGAUCCGCGCUGCAUUAGCUAGUUGGUAAGGUAACGGCUUACCAAGGCAACGAUGCAUAGCCGACCUGAGAGGGUGAUCGGCCACACUGGAACUGAGACACGGUCCAGACUCCAACGGGAGGCAGCAGUAGGGAAUCUUCCGCAAUGGGCGAAAGCCUGACGGAGCAACGCCGCGUGAGUGAUGAAGGUCUUCGGAUCGUAAAACUCUGUUAUUAGGGAAGAACAUAUGUGUAAGUAACUGUGCACAUCUUGACGGUACCUAAUCAGAAAGCCACGGCUAACUACGUG
rnacentral:rRNA from 1 species